UGGGAUUACAGGCGUGAGCCACCGCGCCUGGCUGAGAUGUUUUAAUGUAGUUGUUUAUAUCUACAAAUAUUCCCCUGAGCAGAGCUUCUGCUGCAUAAAUUUUGGUAUGUUUUCUUUUUAUUUUCACCCUUUUCAAGGUAUUUUCUAAUUUCUCUUGUGAUUUCUUCUUUGACCCAUUGGUUAAGUGUUCUAUUUAAUUUCCAUAUAUUUGUGAGCUUUUCAGUAUGUUCGUACUCUAUAGUCCAGUAAUUUCACUUUUAAGUAUAUAUCCAUUAGAUAUGCGAGCAAAACUGCACCAAAAGAGACACACAGAAC
rnacentral:lncRNA from 10 species